rnacentral:RNase_P_RNA from 1 species
UCGGCUGAUGAGGAAAGUCCGAGCUCCAUAGGGCAGGAUGCUGGAUAACGUCCAGUGAGGGUGACCUCAAGGAAAGUACCACAGAAAACAAACCGCCGCUUUUGCGGUAAGGAUGAAACGGUGCGGUAAGAGCGCACCAGCGGCCGGGUGACCGGUCGGCUUGGCAAACCCCAUCCGGAGCAAGACCAAAUAGGGAAGGGAUGAAGCGGCCCGCCAACCUUCCGGGUAGUGUCGCUGGAGCCUGGGAGCAAUUCCAGGACUAGAUAAAUGGUGGUUCUCGACAGAACUCGGCUUACUGCG